rfam:Oryzias latipes DNA, chromosome6, strain: Hd-rR.
CUCGGCUAUGGAGACAUGUACCCCAAAACGACAUUUGGCAUGCUGGUUGGAGCUCUGUGCGCCCUGGCAGGUGUGCUUACCAUUGCAAUGCCCGUUCCUGUGAUUGUCAACAAC